AACAUCACGCCGGACGAACGGAUUACAUUGAUGCUGUAAAUUAUAAGGAAUAAUUCCUUUGAUGUUU
rnacentral:tRNA from 1 species